rnacentral:rRNA from 1 species
UACAGAGGGGGCAAGCGUUGUUCGGAAUUACUGGGCGUAAAGGGCGCGUAGGCGGCGUGACAAGUCACUUGUGAAAUCUCUGGGCUUAACCCAGAACGGCCAAGUGAAACUGUUGUGCUAGAGUGCAGAAGGGGCAAUCGGGAUUCUCGGUGUAGCGGUGAAAUGCGUAGAUAUCGAGAGGAACACCAGAGGUGAAGACGGGUUGCUGGGCUGACACUGACGCUGAGGCGCGAAAGCCAGGGGAGCAAACGGG